AGCAGCCGCGGUAAUUCCAGCUCCAAUAGCGUAUAUUAAAGUUGUUGCAGUUAAAAAGCUCGUAGUUGAAUUUCGGGGUUAGUAGGUUGGUCAUGCCUCUGGUAUGUACUGGUCUCACUGAUUCCUCCUUCCUGAUGAGCCGUAAUGUCAUUUAUUUGGUGUCGUGGGGAAUCAGGACUGUUACUUUGAAAAAAUUAGAGUGUUUAAAGCAGGCUCACGCUUGAAUACAUUAGCAUGGAAUAAUGAAAUAGGACGUUUGAUUCUAUUUUGUUGGUUUCUAGGAUCGACGUAAUGAUUAAUAGGGAUAGUUGGGGGCAUUAGUAUUCAAUUGUCAGAGGUGAAAUUCUUGGAUUUAUUGAAGACUAACUACUGCGAAAGCAUUUGCCAAGGAUGUUUUCAUUAAUCAAGAACGAAAGUUAGGGGAUCGAAGACGAUCAGAUACCGUCGUAGUCUUAACCAUAAACUAUGCCGACUAGGGAUCGGAUGAUGUUAAUUUUUAAU
rnacentral:rRNA from 1 species